AACGAACGCUGGCGGCAGGCCUAACACAUGCAAGUCGAGCGCUCUCUUCGGAGGGAGCGGCGGACGGGUGAGUAACGCGUGGGAACGUGCCCUUCUCUGCGGGAUAGCCUUGGGAAACUGAGAGUAAUACCGCAUACGCCCUUCGGGGGAAAGAUUUAUCGGAGAAGGAUCGGCCCGCGUCUGAUUAGGUAGUUGGUGGGGUAAUGGCCUACCAAGCCUACGAUCAGUAGCUGGUUUUAGAGGAUGAUCAGCCACACUGGGACUGAGACACGGCCCAGACUCCUACGGGAGGCAGCAGUGGGGAAUCUUAGACAAUGGGCGCAAGCCUGAUCCAGCCAUGCCGCGUGAGUGAAGAAGGCCUUAGGGUCGUAAAGCUCUUUCGCCAGGGAUGAUAAUGACAGUACCUGGUAAAGAAACCCCGGCUAACUCCGUGCCAGCAGCCGCGGUAAUACGGANGGGGUUANCGUUGUUCGGAAUUACUGGGCGUAAAGCGCGCGUANGCGGACUAUUAA
rnacentral:rRNA from 1 species